AAGGACUCUUGACGUGUGUCUUUAACCCAUCUUGCCAAUUAGAUCAUGAAUCACUGCAGGUAGUGUCUUUUCUUGAGGUCUGCAGAAGCUUCAGGAUUUUUAACACACUUCUUUGACCACACUGGGCAGCAAAAUGUUUGUUUGUUGACUUUCUUUUUCUUUUUUAUGAGACAGAGCGUUGCUCUGUUGCCAGGCUGGAGUGCAGUGGUGCAAUCUCGGCUCACUGCAACCUCCGCCUCCAGCGUUCAAGUGAUUCUCCUGCCUCAGCCUCCUGAGUAGCUGGGACUACAGGUGCAUGCCACCACACCUGGCUAAUUUUUGUAUUUUUAAUACAGAUGGGAUUUCACCAUGUUGGCCAGGAUGAUCUUGAACUCCUGAUCUCGUGAUCCGCCCACCUCGGCCUCCCAAAGUGCUGGGAUUACAGGUGUCAGCCACCACACCCAGCCUCAUUGACUUCCUAAAAAACUCAAAACUCUUGACUAUGAGACCGCUUCUAGUUGGAGUGUGUGCUCCAUUCAGAAAACAACCACUCGAGUGCACCUGACCCAUUCCCAGUCCACGUUUCUCAAAUGUUGUUUAGCAGAAGAAACUUUUCUUUUUCUUCAAUCCUCAAACAAAAUCUCACCCAAAGCACCCAUAUAUAAAAAGAGACGAAAGAGGCUCUGAUGGUG
rnacentral:lncRNA from 10 species